rnacentral:ncRNA from 1 species
ACAAAGGCUGUGAAGAGAAGAGUACGCAGAAAGAAUGAUUACAGAGAGUCCGGAUGGGUGGAAACGGAUGUCAGGAGAACUGCCGAAGAUGGUCUCGGAGCUGCACUGCCGAAGUAUGAACGGGAUUGAAGCAUGGCCUGCAGGCCGCCUGUUCAUUUUAAGCAGUGACGGAAAUAAGGUCCGUUAACACCGCAGGCUGUGAAUACGCAGUGCAUCGCCAGGAGCAGAGCCGGGAUGCAGAUUGCUGGAGACAGCCGCUGAGGCAUCCGCUGUGAGGCGGCAUGCAAAUUAAAGUGGUAACACGGGAAAAUAAGUCUCGUCUUUAAC